rnacentral:rRNA from 1 species
CCUACGGGAGGCAGCAGUGGGGAAUAUUGGGCAAUGGGCGCAAGCCUGACCCAGCAACGCCGCGUGAAGGAAGAAGGCCCUCGGGUUGGAAACUUCUUUUAUUCGGGACGAAACAAAUGACGGUACCGAAUGAAUAAGCCACGGCUAACUACGUGCCGGCAGCCGCGGUAAUACAUAGGUGGCAAGCGUUAUCCGGAGUUACUGGGUGUAAAGGGGGUGUAGGCGGGAGAGCAAGUCAGACGUGAAAUUCCAGGGCUCAACCCGGGAACUGCGUAUGAAACUGUUCGUCUUGAGUGAUGGAGAGGCAGGCGGAAUUCCGGGUGUAGCAGUGAAAUGCGUAGAUAUACGGAGGAACACCAGUGGCGAAGGCGGCCUGCUGGACAUUAACUGACGCUGAGGCGCGAAGGCGAGGGGAGCAAACAGAAUUAGAUACCCUAGUAGUC